rnacentral:tRNA from 1 species
ACUUAAGUAGCUUAUAUUUAGAGUUUAAUAUUGAAGAUAUUACGGAAAUAAAAUUUAUUCUUAAGUA